rnacentral:rRNA from 1 species
AUUGAACGCUCGCGGCAUGCUUUACACAUGCAAGUCGAACGGUAACAGGCCUUCGGGUGCUGACGAGUGGCGAACGGGUGAGUAAUGCAUCGGAACGUACCCAGAGGUGGGGGAUAACGCAGCGAAAGCUGUGCUAAUACCGCAUGUGAUCUGAGGAUGAAAGCGGGGGACCGAGCAGCAAUGUUUGGCCUCGCGCCUUUGGAGCGGCCGAUGUCGGAUUAGCUAGUUGGUGGGGUAAAGGCCUACCAAGGCGACGAUCCGUAGCUGGUCUGAGAGGACGACCAGCCACACUGGGACUGAGACACGGCCCAGACUCCUACGGGAGGCAGCAGUGGGGAAUUUUGGACAAUGGGCGCAAGCCUGAUCCAGCAAUGCCGCGUGCGGGAAGAAGGCCUUCGGGUUGUAAACCGCUUUUGGCAGGAACGAAACGGUGUCCGCUAAUACCGGGCGCUAAUGACGGUACCUGCAGAAUAAGCACCGGCUAACUACGUG